rnacentral:rRNA from 1 species
CCUACGGGUGGCAGCAGUGAGGAAUAUUGGUCAAUGGACGAGAGUCUGAACCAGCCACGUAGCGUGAAGGAUGACUGCCCUCUGGGUUUUAACCUUCUUUUAUAUGGGAAUAAAAUGUUCCACGUGUGGGAUUUUGUAUGUACCAUAUGAAUAAGGAUCGGCUAACUCCGUGCCAGCAGCCGCGGUAAUACGGAGGAUCCGAGCGUUAUCCGGAUUUAUUGGGGUUAAAGGGAGCGUAGGUGGAUUGUUAAGUCAGUUGUGAAAGUUUGCGGCUCAACCGUAAAAUUGCAGUUGAAACUGGCAGUCUUGAGUACAGUAGAGGUGGGCGGAAUUCGUGGUGUAGCGGUGAAAUGCUUAGAUAUCACGAAGAACUCCGAUUGCGAAGGCAGUUCACUGGACUGCAACUGACACUGAGGCUCGAAAGUGUGGGUAUCAAACAGGAUUAGAUACCCUGGUAGUC